AUACGGAGGAUCCAAGCGUUAUCCGGAAUCAUUGGGUUUAAAGGGUCCGUAGGCGGUUUAGUAAGUCAGUGGUGAAAGCCCAUCGCUCAACGGUGGAACGGCCAUUGAUACUGCUAGACUUGAAUUAUUAGGAAGUAACUAGAAUAUGUAGUGUAGCGGUGAAAUGCUUAGAGAUUACAUGGAAUACCAAUUGCGAAGGCAGGUUACUACUAAUGGAUUGACGCUGAUGGACGAAAGCGUGGGUAGCGAACAGGAUUAGAUACCCUGGUAGUCCACGCCGUAAACGAUGGAUACUAGCUGUUGGGGGCAACUUCAGUGGCUAAGCGAAAGUGAUAAGUAUCCCACCUGGGGAGUACGUUCGCAAGAAUGAA
rnacentral:rRNA from 1 species